CCGGCGAGGGUAUCUGAGUCGGCGGUGAAGAUGACGUCUGUGUCGGCGCCGACAAUAUAGCAGUGAGCGACAGUGCGUUGAAAAUCAUGCAUGUGCUAUAUAACCUAUUACCGGGAGAGGCAUAUGAACAGAGCAUAAAUAACGCGAAAGGAUCAACUAAUGCUUAUAUUAAAUUCAUCACAUCAACUAAUGCUUACGUUAUCCGGAGCCAAAACCGGUCGCUUCCCUAAGGAUAAGCGUGUCGUUAAAGGUGCCACCACCGCCUCUGAGCUUUAGUGGGAGAAAGUUAACUCCUUUUCUCUAUCUCCUAUCAGUCUCUUUUUCAUUAUCAUCUUCUGAGUGGAUGCUUUUGGAAGGGUUCCUUUUUCAGAAAGUGCUAAAGAUUUGGUUACAAACAUGUUGACCAAAGAAAACUAGAAGAAAACUGUAAAUGGAUUGGAAAAUGAUACAAAGGAUAACAAAAAGAGAUGGACGAAUAUAUUAACAUGACUUCGCAAAAGGAUAGAGAUCGAAAAAAAGUUCCUUUGGAUGAACGAAAUCUGACGUCAGAAGAAAGAUUUGCGUUGAGCCUUCAGACAAAAUAUUAUCCACACGUUUUUAUCCGGAUGUUACACGGGAAAAGCCGGUGUCCAUGCGAAUUCGAAUGUGUUUUGGAACGAUGUGAUUCUAUUUCAUAGAUUCAGAUGGAUAAUAAUUUUUG